rnacentral:lncRNA from 1 species
AUUUUCUGAGUUACUUAGUAAAACACUGUGUUUGGUGCCAACAUCCAUUGCUGGUAAUUGUCUUAUACAAAAAAAAAAAAAAAAAAAAAAGACAUUUAUGAAACAGCCAAGUGUCAGGGAUAAAUAUGAGCCCUGAGGCAGGCCAUUAUUUUGAGACCUGCACCUCCUUUUGAGAUGAAACCUGGAAUUUCUCAGAAGCAGUUUUACAUCAUGACAGCUCACAAUGCAGAAACAAUGGUGUAUUUUUUAAAUCAUUAUCACUUGUUAUGUCACAAGCUUUGUACUGAGACCACCACUGAAGACACAGGUGCUGAAUGCCAGCUCCUGAUCAGAAGAACUACACUGCAGGCUUUCCAGCCUCCAUUAGUACAUCUAAUGCCAGAUACACAGUGCAAGAAAUCUAAACUUGCACCCUAUCGAAGAGAUGGAUUGAAGUGCAUAGCUGAUGCCUCUGGUGCCCUAAGUGUGGUCAAAAGAAGAGCAGUUGAAUAAAUACAAGCUAUUCCUUUGAUAUUUUGUCCCUUAAAUGAAAGUGAAGGAAAGAAAUUCAGUCCCUUCUUCUCCCAGCUUUUCCUUUUCUCUGACUCACGACAAUGGUGGAGAAGUUUUGAUAUCAGAGUCCAGCCCCGUGGAAGCAGAGUGCUGUCACAGAUGCAGGCUGCCUUUGAAAGUGAGUCAGGUGGGAGUAGGAGGCAUGUGAUUGUUAAAAGAUAAUGAGAGAGACACUCCCAGUUAGUAGGUAGCCCACUCUGCAGUCAGCUGUGAUAGGAACAGAGGAAGAGGAAACAGCGUCAGAGAGAUGAUGCAGCAGGAGUGGUUAUUACUACCUGGGUACCUCAAGAGCUAAUUAAACCCACAGUUUCUCUUGUGUGGCAUUAUCAUAUGAAUGAGACAGAAAGAGAAAAUUACGAGGGCGAGCUGGCUUCAUAAUGAGAACUACUUCAGCUGUCAGCAGUACAUCCGCACUGAGAGGGGUCCAGGGAAGGGUGUAGGUGAAUAUCCUCACAGCUCCUCCAGUCAUCCCCAGUUCUGUGCUAAGUGAUGUAUUGACAUCUGGAGCCAUAAGAACCCUUUAAUUAGGCUUUUGUCUGUCAUUCUUCUCUUGGCAAUCUCAGCAGUGUUAUGUCAUCUUAUGUUCCUUGAGGUUUCCAGAGGCACUUACCUUACACUCUUCUAACUGUAUAUUGCAGGUAUAAAUGGACAAAUGAAUGCACCUGAGAACUGAAACAAAAAAAAAAAAAAAAAGUGUGGCAAAAAUAUUGCUUCCUCUAUCACUACUGUUACCUUCCAUGGAGAAUAAAAUAAAAAAUAAAAUAAAAUAUUAAAAAGAA